CCCUUAGAUGUCCGGGGCCGCACGCGCGCUACACUGAAGGAAUCAGCGUGGCUUUCUCCCUGACCCGAAAGGGUUGGGAAACCCGUUGAAUCUCCUUCGUGAUAGGGAUUGGGGCUUGAAAUUGUUCCCCAUGAACGAGGAAUUCCCAGUAAGCGCGAGUCAUAAGCUCGCGUUGAUUACGUCCCUGCCCUUUGUACACACCGCCCGUCGCUACUACCGAUUUAACGGUUUAGUGAGGGCCUCGGAUUGGUCUCGGCCCGCUCUUUACCGGGCGGCGCCGUUGGUCGAGAAGACGCUCGAACUUGAUCGUUUAGAGGAAGUAAAAGUCGUAACA
rnacentral:rRNA from 1 species